rnacentral:lncRNA from 1 species
GGGUGCUUGAUAUUGUGUACUAGAAUAUAACGCCUAUUCCUUUAGAAAUUUCAUUAAUGGUCCUAGUCCUUGUUCCAUCUCUAGAUGUUUACUAUACUAUUUGCCAUCUUUAUCAGAUCUAACUAUUUUAAUCACCUUUUCUAAUAGUCUUUCUAUCUCAAUUUUGAAUUCCUUAAAGGUCUCAAAAAUAUCAGCUUUAUCAAAUAGAAAAUAUAGAUGCAUAUACCGUGAAUACUCGUUAAUGAAUGUGGGAAAAUAAUUUUUAGCUAUUAGAUAUGGGAAUGUCUACA